rnacentral:rRNA from 1 species
GAGUUUGAUCGUGGCUCAGGAUGAGCGCUAGCGGCGUGCCUUACACAUGCAAGUCGAACGGCAGCGGGGGAGAAGCUUGCUUCUCCUGCCGGCGAGUGGCGAACGGGUGAGUAAUACAUCGGAACGUGCCCUGUAGUGGGGGAUAACUAGUCGAAAGAUUAGCUAAUACCGCAUACGACCUGAGGGUGAAAGUGGGGGACCGCAAGGCCUCAUGCUAUAGGAGCGGCCGAUGUCUGAUUAGCUAGUUGGUGGGGUAAAGGCCUACCAAGGCGACGAUCAGUAGCUGGUCUGAGAGGACGAUCAGCCACACUGGGACUGAGACACGGCCCAGACUCCUACGAGAGGCAGCAGUGGGGAAUUUUGGACAAUGGGCGAAAGCCUGAUCCAGCAAUGCCGCGUGUGUGAAGAGGGCC